AGCCUCAAAGCAGGCCGGGUAACAUAGAGGUUUCCUAAAACAUAAAAAACAAACAAACAAACAAACAAACAACAAACAAACAAACAAACAGUGGAGCAGCAAAGAGAAAGGCAGAGAAAGAAAGUUAUAUCAGAGAAACUGAAAUUCGGAAAGCAUACACUAUAUCUGGAUUUUUUUCGUAAGUCGUCUUGCUAGCCAUUAGCAAAGAGCCCGGAGGUGGAAGAUGCUAACGUCGAAGAGAAGAAGGACAGAACGCGACAGAAGCAGCAGAACAAAGGUAGAGAGCCACAACCCUGUGACAGCCACCUGUUCAACUGACCCUCAUCUCCACUGGAGCCUUACGCCGUUGCUGAUGACAGAGACCCGGUUGGUCUGAAAGUCAGGUGUGUCAUGCGAGUGGCAGAUAACGGCAGGUAACAAGCAGAGACGAGGAGCAGCCUGCAGCAGAGGUCUGUUAACAGGUGUACUACAAGACCCCAUGACAUCACAGCAAAGCACACCUCUGACCACACCUGUCAAGCUUGAGAGUCUCAAGCAGAGAGGGCAUCAACACAGUCCUUUUCACCCUGGUGUGAAGAUCUCUUGAAACACACUUUAGGUGUUGGUCUUGAUUUCUUAUUACAAAAUAAACUAAAUUAAAUGAUCUUCAUUAACUAAAUUGAGUACAAUACAGGCAGCCAUGACACUUUUCUUACCACCUUUCUUUUGGUUUGUAUAUUAUUAAUCAAACCUGUCUCCUACAAAUUAAUGUCCAUAUACUACUAAAC